UACGUAGGGAGCAAGCGUUGUCCGGAAUCAUUGGGCGUAAAGCGCGCGUAGGUGGCCCCAUAAGUCCGCUGUGAAAGUCAAAGGCUCAACCUUUGAAAGCCGGUGGAUACUGUGGGACUAGAGUACGGAAGAGGCGAGUGGAAUUCCUGGUGUAGCGGUGGAAUGCGCAGAUAUCAGGAGGAACACCAAUAGCGAAGGCAGCUCGCUGGGACGUUACUGACACUAAGGCGCGAAAGCGUGGGGAGCGAACAGG
rnacentral:rRNA from 1 species